CGCGUAGGCGGUUCUGUAAGCGGCGUGUGAAAGCCCGGGGCUCAACCCCGGAACUGCACGCCGAACUGCAGGGCUAGAGGACGAGAGGGGACUGUGGAACUCUAGGUGGAGCGGUGAAAUGCGUAGAUAUCUAGAGGAACGCCGGUGGCGAAAGCGAUAGUCUGGCUCGUCCCUGACGCUGAGGCGCGAAAGCGUGGGUAGCAAACA
rnacentral:rRNA from 1 species